GUGAAAGGCCGGGGCUUAACCCCGUGUAUUGCAGUGGGUACGGGCAGACUAGAGUGCAGUAGGGGAGACUGGAAUUCCUGGUGUAGCGGUGGAAUGCGCAGAUAUCAGGAGGAACACCGAUGGCGAAGGCAGGUCUCUGGGCUGUAACUGACGCUGAGAAGCGAAAGCAUGGGGAGCGAACAGGAUUAGAUACCCUGGUAGUCCAUGCCGUAAACGUUGGGCACUAGGUGUGGGGGACAUUCCACKUUUUCCGCGCCGUAGCUAACGCAUUAAGUGCCCCGCCUGGGGAGUACGGCCGCAAGGCUAAAACUCAAAGAAAUUGACGGGGGCCCGCACAAGCGGCGGAGCAUGCGGAUUAAUUCGAUGCAACGCGAAGAACCUUACCAAGGCUU
rnacentral:rRNA from 1 species